CUAACUUCUUCUUUGAUAAAAACAAAUGUAACUUCUUCUACGUCUUUUCCAUUACAACCUUCGGUUACAAUUUCAUCUUCUACCAUUUUUUUCAUUACUACCAUUUCUUUCCAUCGAUAUUCUCAACAUGAAAUGAGAAACUAAUGGAAAGACCAAAAAAACUAAAGGGAAAGGAGUUGAAAGGAAAUGGUAAAUUCCAUGGCAUGUUUCAAAUCAAAGGUUGUGACUUGCAAUCUAACUUCUUUUCUAUGAUGCAUCUUCUUUGUUUCUCUCUAUUGAAAUUUUUUACUCCUUUCUUUCUGUUUUUAUUCUUCAUCAUCAACAACAAUCGUGAGUACUAUUGCUGAAAAGGGAAGAGACCGUGUUUUGCCACUACGACUUCAUACCAGUCGCUAAAGCGAUCCAUAACCGGUAAUAACUAAAUAUGGUGCAUUUUUUCUAAUGUUUUCUCUUAUUCAUACUGCCUUUCUUUUUUUCCUAAUUUUUUGUUCACAUUUUAUUUCCUUAUGUUUUUAUCACAAAAUCAGUAAUUUACUUCUAUGAUUUGAAUUGUUAUUUUCCCUAAUCAUCAUAAAAGCCGAUUGUCAUCUCCUAACGUGGCGUUCUUCAACAAAAAAAUCACCCAACUUGGUGGCAAGGGAUAUCAAAGCCAACCUUAAUCUUCUUUUCUCUGGCUGUCUUAUGUCUAUAAUUUCAUAUUUUAAACUAUUAUGUCUUUACCUCUUUUUUUCUUUCCAAGUAAAUGUCCCAUUGCUAAAGAACCAAAGUUUAGAGAGAGUAGAGCAUCCUGAGAGGGUCAGAGUACAAUUAAAAUAAGACGGAGGAAGAAAUAACUACAUUUUUUGUGUGUGUAUGACUUGCAAGAGUUAGCAGGGUUACAACCAAAAGAGCGGUUAGACAAAAUAUUGCAACUGUACAUGGGAAGCAUAAAUGAAGAACUAAAUAAAAAAAACAAUUGAGGAGUAGUAGAAGCAAUAAUGGGGUACACAUUUUUCUUUUUGGAACAUCAGUUUGGCAAAACAAAUUGAUAAAUCAAAGGGAAGAAUAAAAUACGAAUUGAAUUCAUUUGCCACCCAAGGUGGACGUAGCGCUACAACAAUGGUACUAUUGACACUUUGUUUGGUUAACAUCUCUCUCAUUCUUCUCCAUCCAGCUACAUUUGAAUGUGUUGACACUAUAAGAAAGGGGUAAGAGAUAGAAAGACAAAAUGAAAGACAGAGAAGAAAAUAGGACUGAUAGAGAGAAUGCCAAAGAGAAAGACAGACGACAAAGAAAAUGGUAGAGAAAUAUAUAUGAGACAAAAGGCCACCCUCCGAUGGUGCAAAGUCUUCACAAAAGAAAUAAGUGGUUGUUCAUGGUCGCAUAACAAUUGAUAGUUGAUCGAAAGGUUCCGUACAAUCAAACACCACUUAACUCAAAAUACAAGGAUUUGAGAUACCCUCGACGACAAUGUAAUUGAUUAAAAACCAGUUGAUUUAUAAAUGUUGGUUAUGUAUCUUUUUGAAUUUACUAUAUAUUUUAGAUCAACGUCUGUUCAAUAUGAGAUAGAGAACAAAAGUAUAGGAAAAGGAGAGACAAAAGUAAGGAAAAUAGGGAGCCAUCUAGGUCACCCUUUGGCAGUGGCCUAAAUGAAAUCCUCACAGCACUCACACAAAAUGACGGAGGAAGGGGCAUUAGGUUUUUGGAGAGAGAGAGGGGUUUGUUUAUUGAUUUUAGUUAAAAUGUUUUCUUAUUCUGUUUCUACAAUUAAUUUUAUUCUCUCCAUUUCUUUUGUAGACAAUGAGAGUGUGAUGUAAAUAGAGAUGAUGAAUAUGUCUUA